rnacentral:rRNA from 1 species
CCUACGGGAGGCAGCAGUGAGGAAUAGUGGUCAAUGGACGAGAGUCUGAACCAGCCAAGUAGCGUGAAGGAUGACUGCCCUAUGGGUUGUAAACUUCGUUUAUAGGGGAAUAAAAUGUUCCACGUGUGGGAUUUUGUAUGUACCAUAUGAAUAAGGAUCGGCUAACGCCGUGCCAGCAGCCGCGGUAAUACGGAGGAUCCGAGCGUUAUCCGGAUUUAGUGGGUUUAAAGGGAGCGUAGGUGGCUUGUUAAGUCAGUUGUGAAAGUUUGCGGCUCAACCGUAAAAUUGCAGUUGAAACUGGCAGUCUUGCUUACAGUAGAGGUCGGCGUACUUCGUGGUGUCGCGG